UCUAGCUACUCUGGUGGGGACUUGGAGAACCUUUGUGUCCCCACUCUGUAUCUAGCUAAUCUGGUGGGGACGUGAAGAACCUUUGUGUCUAGCUCAGGGAUUGUAAAGGCACCAGUCAGCACCCUGUCAAAACAGACCACUUUGCUCUCUGUAAAAUGGACCAAUCAGCAGGAUGUGGGUGGGGCCAGAUAAGAGAAUAAAAGCAGGCUGCCCAAGCCAGCAGUGGUAACCCCCUUGGAUCCCCUUCCACACUGUGGGAGGUUUGUUCUUUUGCUCUUUGCAAUAAAGCUUGCUGCUGCUCACUCUUUGGGUCCAGACUGUCUUUAUGAGCUAUAACACUCACCGGGAAGGUCUGCAGCUUCACUCCUGAAGCCAAGGAGACCACGAACCCACCGGGAGGAAGGAACAACUACAGACACGCCGGCUUAAGAGCUGUAGCACUCACUGCGAAGGUCCGCAGCUUCACUCUUGAGCCAGAGACCACGAACCCACCAGAAGGAAGAAACUCCAAACACAUCCGAACAUCAGAAGGAAAAAACUCCAGACACGCCGCCUUUAAGAACUGCAACACUGCGAGGGUCCGCGGCUUCAUUCUUGAAGUCAGUGAGACCAAGAACCCACCAAUUCCAGACACACUACCAAAGGCAGAGGGGAGCUCCUAGACAAAGAUAUUUUGCUUACAAAUGGAACAUAUCAAAUCAAGCUUUUGUGAACUUGAGGGAAGAAACAAAGAAUAUGAAGCCUAAAUGGAAGUGUCAGGAAAUGGUCGCCUUGCGGACAAGGAAACAGCAGCCUGGAAGGCCAGGAGAGGGCAGACUACCCACCUAACCCUCUGCAGAAUUUUGUGUGGACCCUGGAGACCAGAAACUAACUUCUCCUGCAGAGACAAGGUCUUGCUCUGUCACCCUGGCUGGUCUUGAACUCCUGGCUUCAAGCAAUUCAUCCAUCUCAGCCUCCUGAGUAGCUGGGAUUACAGGUACAAGCCACUGCACCCAGCUGUUUUUUGUUUUGUUUUGUGUUUUCUCCUCACCAUAUAAGUUUAAUUGCCUAGUUUAAGCUCCUACCGUCUUUCAUCUUCAACACAGAACUAUCUUGGUGUUAAGAAAUCUAUCUUUAACAUUUGCUGAUUGGCUGACUAAUCACUGUAUUAUGAGUUAUAUCCAUUAUAAUGUUUUUAACAUGUUUAUUUUACUCAAUGGGGAAUCUAGAUGACUUGCUGCAUGUGAAGAACAGUUCCUGGCACAGGGUUUGCUCCAAAUAAAUGUUGUCAUCAUCACCAGCACCAUCAUCGUCACCAUCAUCAUAAAUAAAAAACAGUGAAGCAUAGACAGUUUUUGCAAGAGGCCCAAGAUCAUACAUCAAAUAUGUGCACAGCCAGGACCUGAACCAGUUGAUAUCUACAAAUGCCUGGCUUUUGCCACUGGGCUCCUUCAGGAUGGGAGGACAGGCAUGAUGGUGUGUGCCUGUAUUCCCACCAACUCAAAAGGCUGACAUGGGAGGAUCACUAGAGCCCAGGAGUUUGAGGCCCACAUGGGCAACUUAGCAAAAACCUGUCUCUAAAAAUCAAAACAGAGAAACAGGAUGAAGAAUGUUCAUACGGAUUCUGUUAUCUACUAUUUAACCAGCUUUCCCAAAAGUGGCCUGCUGCUGUUUACCACGAUGAAAGUAGUAUCCAUACCAGCACUGGUUUGUAUUAUUUUGGUUCUUUGCCCAAAGUAAUUUUCAGAAAUAUAUACUUCAUCUCUCCUGGGUUGCUGUGGGCUAUGUCUCUCUCCAAUAGCUCCUUUGCUUUUGCCUUUCCCAUGUUUGGUAACAGCUUCUCUUUUGCUAACCCUGCUAUACUGAACUAUUCCCUGUUGGUUUUCUUAAAUCUUGCCCACAUUAAAAAAAUUAUUUUACUAAAAUCUCCUUAAACUAAUUACUCUGAUUAUGAAAUCAGCUUCCAUAAGGAAUCUUGACUAAAUGAACUUAUCAUAAUAAACUUAUAAUUAUCAGCAAGUGUUAGGUACACAAAUAAGAGAGAAGGCAUUCUUACUGAACAAGAAUGUGACAGUAAAUUGGGUUAACCCUUAUUUAUUUAUUUUUUUUUUUGAGAUGGAGUCUUGCUGUGUUGCCCAGGCUGUGUUGCAGUGGCAUGAUAUUGGCUCACUGAAACCUCCACCUCUUGGGUUCAAGUGAUUCUCCUGCCUCAGCCUCCCGAGCAGCUGGGACUAACUACAGGUGCCCACCACCACACCUGUCUAAUUUUUGUAUUUUUAGUAGAGACAGGGUUUCGCCAUGUAGGCCAGGCUGGUCUCUAAUGCCUGACCUCAUGAUCCACCC
rnacentral:lncRNA from 1 species